CCUACGGGGGGCAGCAGUGAGGAAUAUUGGUCAAUGGACGAGAGUCUGAACCAGCCAAGUAGCGUGAAGGAUGACUGCCCUAUGGGUUGUAAACUUCUUUUAUAAAGGGAUAAAACGAGGCACGUGUGCCUUUUUGCAUGUACUUUAUGAAUAAGGAUCGGCUAACUCCGUGCCAGCAGCCGCGGUACUACGGAGGAUCCGAGCGUUAUCCGGAUUUAUUGGGUUUAAGGGGAGCGUAGAUGGGUUGUUAAGUCAGCGGUGAAAGUUUGGGGCUCAACCAUAAAAUUGCCGUUGAAACUGGUGGACUGGAGUAUAGUUGAGGUAGGCGGAAUGCGUGGUGUAGCGGUGAAAUGCAUAGAUAUCACGCAGAACCCCGAUUGCGAAGGCAGCAUGCCGGAUUCCGACUGACGCUGAAGCACGAAAGCGUGGGGAUCGAACAGGAUUAGAUACCCCGGUAGUC
rnacentral:rRNA from 1 species